GGUUGCAACUCUGGAUCGCACAAGUCUAGGCUAACCAAAUUGGUUAAGCCCAGCCCAUGUACGUGACUUGUUUUGUAUGGUGGCCCUGAAGUGCAAAACACAGUUACAAAUUAUAACACAAAACAAACAAACAAAAAUAAGUAAAUAAAUAAAUAAGGUUAUGAUUUGUAUACAUUUAUUUUCAUGGUUGCAACUCUGGAUCCCACAAGUCUAGGCUAACCAAAUUGGUUUAUGUCAGCCUUCGUGACUUGUUUUGUACGGUGGCCCUGAAGUGCAAAACACAGUUACAAAUUAUUUAAAAAAUAAAAUAAAAUUAAAUUAAAAAAAAAAAAAAAAAGAGGUAAUGACUUGCAUACAUAUCUUUACUUGGUUGCAACUCUGGAUCCCACAAGCCUAGACUUAUGAAUUGGUUUAGGUCAGCCCAUGUUUGUAACUUGUUUUGUAAGGUGGCCCUGAAGUGCAAAACACAGUUUCAAAAUAUCAAAAAAAAAUCAAACAAACAAAACAAAAGAGGCUAUGAUUUGUAUACAAAUCUUUCCUUGGUUGCAUCUCUGGAU